rnacentral:rRNA from 1 species
CGUGCCCAGUCGUGGGGGAUAACUACUCGAAAGAGUAGCUAAUACCGCAUACGAUCUGAGGAUGAAAGCGGGGGACCUUCGGGCCUCGCGCGAUUGGAGCGGCCGAUGGCAGAUUAGGUAGUUGGUGGGAUAAAAGCUUACCAAGCCGACGAUCUGUAGCUGGUCUGAGAGGACGACCAGCCACACUGGGACUGAGACACGGCCCAGACUCCUACGGGAGGCAGCAGUGGGGAAUUUUGGACAAUGGGCGAAAGCCUGAUCCAGCAAUGCCGCGUGCAGGAUGAAGGCCUUCGGGUUGUAAACUGCUUUUGUACGGAACGAAAAAGCUUCUCCUAAUACGAGGGGCCCAUGACGGUACCGUAAGAAUAAGCACCGGCUAACUACGUGCCAGCAGCCGCGGUAAUACGUAGGGUGCGAGCGUUAAUCGGAAUUACUGGGCGUAAAGCGUGCGCAGGCGGUUAUGUAAGACAGAUGUGAAAUCCCCGGGCUCAACCUGGGAACUGCAUUUGUGACUGCAUGGCUAGAGUACGGUAGAGGGGGAUGGAAUUCCGCGUGUAGCAGUGAAAUGCGUACAUAUGCGGAGGAACACCGAUGGCGAAGGCAAUCCCCUGGACCUGUACUGACGCUCAUGCACGAAAGCGUGGGGAGCAA